UACGUAGGGUGCAAGCGUUAAUCGGAAUUACUGGGCGUAAAGCGUGCGCAGGCGGUUUUGUAAGUCUGUCGUGAAAGCCCCGGGCUCAACCUGGGAAUUGCGAUGGAGACUGCAAGGCUUGAAUCUGGCAGAGGGGGGUGGAAUUCCACGUGUAGCAGUGAAAUGCGUAGAGAUGUGGAGGAACACCGGUGGCGAAGGCGGCAUCCUGGACCGGCAUUGACGCUGAGGCGCGAAAGCCAGGGGAGCAAACGGG
rnacentral:rRNA from 1 species